UACGUAGGGUGCGAGCGUUGUCCGGAAUUAUUGGGCGUAAAGAGCUCGUAGGCGGUCUGUCGCGUCGGUCGUGAAAACUUGGGGCUUAACCCUGAGCUUGCGGUCGAUACGGGCAUGACUGGAGUUCGGCAGGGGAGACUGGAAUUCCUGGUGUAGCGGUGAAAUGCGCAGAUAUCAGGAGGAACACCGGUGGCGAAGGCGGGUCUCUGGGCCGAUACUGACGCUGAGGAGCGAAAGCGUGGGGAGCGAACGGG
rnacentral:rRNA from 1 species